UGAACUUACGGACCAGACCUACGGUCAAUGU
rnacentral:sRNA from 1 species